UUUCACAGAAGGAGCAGUGAACUUCGCGGGACAUUCUGAGAGGCAUACUCACUUCCCAACUCGGCGUGGACUCGCUGGACGAGACGACCGCUGACACUUUUCUUCUUCGCAGCGUCGUGUUGUGAUUGAAACCCUCCCCGGAGAAGCGGCAGAGAAGUCGGCGACAACAGUGUUCUUCGAAUGUGGCCGCACUUUGGACCCACCAGGUUACUUUGAGUGGAUCUUUACAUGCUCACAUCUUCUACACAGGCCACCAAUGACCAAUCAAUGGACAGGAGGAUAUCUGCUGAGGCGCCACUGAAUUUGGAGAUGGCACUCUUGAGCCCGGCUAACCUGGUCUUCAUCAGCCCCGUGCUGGUGAUGUGGUCUGCAUGGCAGUGAGUGUUCACUGGAAACACGCCAGCACCAGGUUACUAGCGUUCUGUUUGAACUGGACUCCAGGAAGAAGAAAAAAACAUCACAACCGAAGCUGGGUACGGACCUGCUACUUGUAGAUGGAGCCCCAGUUCUUGGAUGAGCUUCAGGUCUCUGUCGAUGGUCUCCAAUACGGGGUCGAUGAGGAUGGCCUCCUUGGUCUCGUUGUCAGCCAGAAGGUAAGUGUAGGUGUUGCUGUCUGAUUCAAACAGCUUCCACACAAGGGUGGGAUUCAUUGUUAAUAAUUAAUCACAAAAGUGUGUCGUGAGUUUAGUGGGGUUGUACGUUAAAAAGUACCGCAGUACAGGUAAAGAUUCCAUCUAAAUAUACCGAAAAUAUUGUCUGAUUACAAGAAAAUUUCAAAGAGAGUACCGCAGUACCUUUGAAAAAUACCUGUACUUUUUUUCAUACAUACCAUUGCCGGUAAUAUGAGCCGAGGUGCAUGCGAGUCAACACACACACACACACACACACACAGAGCACCUACAAGCGGAAACAGUGUGGCGACAGACGAGUGAAUGGAUGUAUUUAGGCUUAAAAACUAACAAAAAUUUUGCAGCCCACAGGUAAUUUUUCAACGACCCGCGGUGCAUUCUAGAAAUGCUUCUUCAAAAAAAAUUAAAUGGAAUGAAAGAACAAACAGGUGAAAUGUAAUGAAAAAAGUUGCAAUGUUGACUCGAAUAACACAAAGCUGCCAUGCAGGCUGUUCUUUUUCUUAAAAACUGUCAUUCCUCAAAAAGUUAUAAUGAAUAAAAAUCAAUGUAGACCUAUGCGAUAUAUAAUGUAUUAUAUAUCAUUAUAUAUACCGUAUUUUUCGGAUUAUAAGUCACAGUUUUUUUCAUAGUUUGGCCGGGGGUGCGAUUUAUACUCUGGAGCGACUUAUGUUCGAAAUUAUUAACACAUUAUCGUAAAAUAUCGAAUAACAUUAUUUAUAUCAUUCACGUAAGAGACUAGGCGUAUAUCAGCAAUCGUCACACACACACGUCAACCAAUAAAAAUACGGCGGGGGCGGGUCAUGGCAGAAGUGCUUUGUGAAAAAAAAGAUGCUACCUGCUAUUACUUCCGUACCUAUGAAAAUUGAUCAUUUCAACAUUGGCGGUAACUUAUAAAAACUGAGAAGGGCUGAACAAAAAUGGCACAGAAAAGGAAAUCAUAUACUGCAGGUUACAAGCUGGAAGUAGUGAAAUAUGCAACAGAAAACAGCAAUCGAGCAGCAGAAAUUAAGUUUGGAGUAAGCGAGAAACUUGUAAAGGACUGGCAAAAAAUUUCCCCAAAAAAUGCGACAUACUCCAGUGCGAUUUAUAAAUGUUUUUUUCCUUCUUUAUUAUGCAUUUUCGGCCGGUGCGACUUAUACUCCGGAGCGAUUUAUAAUCCGAAAAAUACUGUAAUUAUUUCGAUGGUGGUCUGUGCGGUCAAACUAGACAUUUUAGCAGGGUAAUGCCAACAAUCUGUCCCGACUUCCGACAUAAAUAUUGCUGUGUCACUUUACAAAUACAUUUGGCUAAUCGACAUCAGUAAAAUGUGGCAUAAUUACUUAGUAAACCAUCUUGCAAGAAGCAUAAACAAGAGAAAUCGACAGCGUAGGACUUGUCGAUCGCCAUGUGAAGUUCCUUGGAGUAGGAUUCUGGGUCGGCUGCGUAUCUGGCAACCUCAGUCAUGGAGAGUGGGAGGGGACUAGAGAAUUUUGACCUUGAUUGCAGUACCAUUUCUAGCCACAUUAUUACAUGUGGCACCUUUAAGUGUUGAAAGUAAACAAAAAUGUAUGAUUUAUUUUUAACACUUUAAUAAGUGGGGCCUUUUUGAUCCCCAAAAAAAGUUAAUAGGAUUUUUUUAUUUUAUUUAAAAAAAGGUCACGGCUCAACAAGAAUAAUUAAUCAAAAUGGUAUUGUAAAUGGGGCAGCACGGUGGUUAGGGCAUGUACCUCACAAUACGAAGGUCCUGAGUUCAAUCCCAGGCUCGGGAUCUCUCUGUGUGGAGUUUGCAUGUUCUCCCCGUGACUGCGUGGGUUUCCUCCGGGUAAUCCGGCUUCCUCACACCUCCAAAGACAUGCACCUGGGGAUAGGUUGAUCGGCAACACUAAAAUUGGCCCUAGUGUGUGAAUGUGAGUGUGAAUGUUAUCUGUCUAUCUGUGUUGGCCCUGCGAUGAGGUGGCGACUUGUCCAGGGUGUACGCCGCCUUCCGCCCGAAUGCAGCUGAGAUAGGCUGCAGCACCCCCCGCCACCCCGAAAGGGACAAGCGGUAGAAAAUGGAUGGAUAGGUAUUGUAAAUUAUUAUAAAUGAUAAAUGGGUUAUACUUGUAUAGCGCUUUUCUACCUUCAAGGUACUCAAAGCGCUUUGACAGUAUUUCCACAUUCACCCAUUCACACACACAUUCACACACUGAUGGCGGGAGCUGCCAUGCAAGGCGCUACCAGCACUCAUCAGGAGCAAGGGUGAAGUGUCUUGCCCAAGGACACAACGGACGUGACUAGGAUGGUAGAAGGUGGGGAUUGAACCCCAGUAACCAGCAACCCUCCGAUUGCUGGCACGGCCACUCUACCAACUUCGCCACGCCGAUUAACCUAUUUAAGGCUCUAAUUAUUUCACAUCAAUUAUUCCAAUUUGAAAUAUUUUUGUGAGGAAUUAUUGCAUAUUUUGUGUUUUUUUGCCAAAACAAAACAUGGUGUUGACAAAAAAAAAAUGCUAAAAACAUAAUCUAUUGAUAAAUAAACAGACCUGAAGUCAAUCUAUAGAGAUGUAAGCGUUGAAUAAAAAAAAUUAUAAUACAAUUAUAUAACUUAUUUUGACAAAUGUUAUGACUUAAACACUUCCGGGUCUUUGGGAGUCCUCAAGGUAACAAACAAAAAAAUACAUUUGUAUUGAAAGUGAAAAAUAUCAAAAAUGCCCUCCUCAACCUCCAGCCACAAAAACUAAUAUUUUUGAAUCAAUACUUUUCUGAGAGUGCCUUUUAAAAUAUGCAUUUUUAUUUGUGAAGGCAGACGUUUGUAUUGAAUUCGCAUUCGGCUGUGCAGGUGUACCUCACACCAGACGAGCGUAUAUUUAAUAUAGAUGGCAAUGUUUUGAACCCUUUCAAAAUAAAAGCAGGCGAGUUUACUAAGUGAAAGUUCAGCUACAGACGUAAGUCAACAAAAAAAUCACAUCACUUUUACAACCUGGUGGAGUGAUAAAAGCUGGAAUGGUGCAGACUGCACUGGCCCCUUCUAAAGUCACGACUCUGAGCUAAGUGCUAAAGCUAACGGCUAACACAUAGGUAGCCUAGCGGAGACCGGAAGUCAGAAGUUUAGACUAAAUAAUUGUUAUAUGUUAAUAUGCGAUACGCGGUAUCGUUACUAUUAUGUAAAUAAACAUGAACGUUACCUGUCUGAAGAGCAGUGCUUUGUUUGGUUGUGUUCCGUGCCACCGUGCACUGCCUCCUCCUAGCGGCAUUUUGUGGGCUCUGACGCCCGCAGACACGGGUCCAUUCUGGGCUGUCAUGGUGCUCAAGCCUUCGGUGCGCCUCCGGAGGCCGAGCGUAAAGGCCAGGCACCGUUGACCGGCGUUCACCCUGUUUAUCACCGAGCACAUACUCCUCCUUUCCGGGUAGCUGUCUGAGCUUUACUGCUGACUGUUGGCGUGAAGAGAGAAGGCGCAGAUCUGUUCUGAUAAAGUCUGAUGUCUGUAUGAUAAUGUCAUCACUUUAUUGUUUUACAGGUCAGCUCCGGAGUCCACUUUUCUUUACGGACACUAACUAGUGCCAGUGUUGAUGUUAAUGUGUAAUAACGUGUCCGUUUGCGAUUAGAGAUGUGACGUUCGCGAACGAAUCGAGUCUUUGGAAAGGCUCUUUCAGGUGAACGAUCAGAACCGAGUCCCAGGCGUGAGCGUUCGUUUGGGAGGCAAUUUUAAUACACAUGCAAAUUUAGCGUCAGCAAUUGCCCACUCAGCACUACUGGACAAGAAUAUGAGUCAGAGUUAAAGGAAAUUUAGCAGCAUAUGGACUAUUAUUUUUUUGUUUGAUAAAAACAAAAAAAUAUACAU